AAACUGCUUACUUAACAAGGUUUCUUUAAGGGACAUGUCAUUCUAUUACUAAUCUAUAAAUAAGGGGGAAAAAGCUUUAGAUAGUUGGACUCGUUUAGGGACUCUUUUUGAACUUGCCCUCUGGAUACAUCUUGCGGUCCCCACCGGCAGACGGAAGAUUUGGCCACCGGAAGCCUGCCUCUGUGUCACUCAAAAGCCACACUCAGCUUUGGAUAACAGCAGCUCUUUUGGCCACAGUGUCUCACUGGGAGCUUGUGUUCAGCUGAUUAUCCACCGUGACCCCCAAAUCUUCUUCAGAGGCACUGCGUCCCAGGAGAGAGUUCACCAUGUUCUGUCAGUGUCGGCCUGAGUCUGAGAAGGGCUGUGUCUGGGGACAGCACAGUUCAUGGCUGACUGUGAGACCAGUGGCUGUCUCUGGUCGUGUGUUGUACAGCACCAAGCACAGCGGCAGUGCUGAGGGGCACCCAGCUGGAAGUGAUGAGACCAGGGCUCCGUUCCCAACAGCUGCUAUCACAUCCCCUCUCUGUGCCCCUAUUGCCCCUCUCUAUCCUCUCCAUUUAGAUAGAUCUCUUCGGGGCAGAGACUGCCUGUCGCCCUGCCAGUGCAGAGCCCAGCACCACAGGGCCUUGAGCUCGGCAUACAGUGCUGCUGUAACAUGAAUUCUUGUGUUUGCACCAUAAAUAAUAGUUAAUGAUAUUUAAU